ACCAAGGCAACGAAUCCGUAAGCUGGUCUGAGAGGAUGAUCAGCCACAUCGGGACUGAGACUCGGCCCGGACUCCUGACCGGGAGCCAGCAUUGGGGAAUAUUGGGACAAUGGGGGCAACCCUGAUCCAGCAAUGUCCGCGUGUGUGAAGAAGGCCUAUGGGUUGUAAAGCACUUUCAGCGAGGAGGAAGGUCGUAAAGUUAAUACCUUUGCGAAUUGACUGUUACUCGCAGAAGAAGCUACCGGCUAACUCUGUGCCAGCAGCCUGCGGUAAUACAGAGGGUGCGAGCGUUAAUCGGAAUUACUGGGCGUUUAAGCGCGUCGUAGGCGGCUUGUCCAAGUCGGAUGUGAAAGCCCCGGGCUCAAUCCUGGGAACUGCAUCCUGAUACUGGUUCGCUAGAGUACAGCAGAGGAGUGUGGAAUUUCAGGUGUAGCGGUGAAAUGCGUAGAUAUCUGAAGGAACACCAGUGUGCGAAGGCGACACUCUGGGCUGAUACUGACGCUGAGGUGCGUAAAGCGUGGGGAGCAAACAGGAUUAGAUACCCCUGGUAGUCCACGCCGUAAACGAUGUCUACUAGCCGUCGGGUCCAUUUGGGACAUGGUGGCGCAGCUAACGCGAUAAGUAGACCGCCUGGGGAGUACGGCCGCCAAGGUUAAAACUCAAAUGAAUUGACGG
rnacentral:rRNA from 1 species